AUGGCCACCUCCCCCCAGGCUGUGCCCACAGCCCAGCCCUUUCUCCACCUGCCACUCCUCUCCACGGUGGAGAGUGUCACUAUGGAUGAUCUCCCCAGCGGCUGGUGUCUGGAGGCCUCCUCAGUGGAGGAUCAGCAGCACGGGGCAGAGGUCCGCUCUGUCUUCCACUGUCUCAGCAGCUCCGGCUGCCGAAUGGGCAGGCACAGGGAGCCUCGCUGCUGCUGA
rnacentral:lncRNA from 1 species